rnacentral:rRNA from 1 species
AGAGUUUGAUCCUGGCUCAGAACGAACGUUGGCGACGCGUUUUAAGCAUGCAAGUCGAGGGAGAAGCAGGUUUCGGCCUGUGGAGACCGGCGGACUGGUGAGUAACACGUAGAUGAACUAUCUUUUGGUCCGGGAUAGCCGAUGGAAACAGCGGGUAAUACCGGAUAUGGCACAGUGUAUGGGUACAUUGUGUAAAAGCACCUUUCGGGGUGCGCUAGAGGAUGUGUCUGCGUCCUAUUAGCUAGUUGGUGGGGUAAUGGCCUACCAAGGCGAUGAUAGGUAGCCGACCUGAGAGGGUGUACGGCCACAUUGGGACUGAGAUACGGCCCAGACUCCUACGGGAGGCAGCAGCUAAGAAUAUUCCGCAAUGGAGGAAACUCUGACGGAGCGACGUCGCGUGGACGAUGAAGGCUUUCGGGUUGUAAAGUCCUUUCGGCAGGGAAGAAUAAGGUGUCCAGGAAAUGGUGCACCGAUGACGGUACCUGCAUAAGAAGCCCCGGCUAACUACGUGCCAGCAGCCGCGGUAAUACGUAGGGGGCAAACGUUGUUCGGAAUUAUUGGGCGUAAAGAGUACGUAGGCGGUCUGGUAAGUUGGUGGUGAAAGUCCGAGGCUCAACUUCGGGUAUGCCACCGAUACUGCCAAACUAGAGUUAUGCAGAGGCAGCAGGAAUUCCUGGUGUAGGGGUGAAAUCUGUAGAUAUCAGGAGGAACACCGAUGGCGAAGGCAAGCUGCUGGGUGAUAACUGACGCUGAGGUACGAAAGCUAGGGUAGCGAACGGGAUUAGAUACCCCGGUAGUCCUAGCCGUAAACGAUGCACACUAGUUGUUGGAUAUUUUAAAAAUAUUCAGUGACGAAGUAAACGCGAUAAGUGUGCCGCCUGGGGAGUAUGCCCGCAAGGGUGAAACUCAAAGGAAUUGACGGGGGCCCGCACAAGCGGUGGAGCAUGUGGUUCAAUUCGAUGUACGCGAAAAAUCUUACCUGGGUUUAAAUGCCAGUGGACAGCUUCAGAGAUGAAGUCUCCCUUCGGGGCUGCUGGUAAGGUGCUGCAUGGCUGUCGUCAGCUCGUGUCGUGAGAUGUUGGGUUAAGUCCCGCAACGAGCGCAACCCUCACCCUUUGUUGCUAAUCUGCUUCGGCAGAUAGGACUCUUAGGGAACUGCCCCGGUUAACGGGGAGGAAGGUGGGGAUGACGUCAAGUCCUCAUGGCCCUUAUGUCCAGGGCUACACACGUGCUACAAUGGAGAGUACAAAGGGAAGCUAAGCCGCGAGGUCAAGCAAAACCCAAAAAACUCUUCUCAGUUCGGAUUGGAGUCUGAAACUCGACUUCAUGAAGUUGGAAUCGCUAGUAAUCGCAGAUCAGAAUGCUGCGGUGAAUACGUUCUCGGGCCUUGUACACACCGCCCGUCACACCACCCGAGUUGAGUCUACCCGAAGUCCUUGUAUGAGGCCGAAGGU